ensembl:lncRNA
GAUAUAAACCUUUUUGUAUAAUUUUUUUAUAUAUAUAAAAUAUCAAACCAACAGAAGUUCUUACAAACUGAAAUUAUAUUACAGAUUUCCAGUUAAAUGUCCUCAUGAAACUAGAUAAAAUAAUUGCAAAACAGGAAGAGCAUUCUCUCUUGCUUCGGCGGCUAAUGCAGACAAGAGAGGAAGACACAGGGCCAGAGAACCCUAUCCCAUCUAUUGGUCAGUUACCUGACUUCCUCAGAAGUUUGGUCACAGUUUAGCCUCAAAGGAAGGAAGGGGAAGAGGAGACUUGAAGAACUCUCUGUUUAUCGAGUUCUAAUAAGGGCAAUAAUGAAAUCACAACCUGGGUCUACUAGCAUGGAUGCUGAAAGCCAGAUUGCAGAGACCCUUAAACAUGCACCAGGUCUGGUUAGGAGAAAGGCUAAUUUUUACCUGCCUGCUGCACAUCAUUCUCUGUCCCCGGAUUGUCUGCCUGGUUUUGACUUGUGCCUGCCGACUGGUUUCUGCGCUUGCCUUUUCCUCUGGAUUUGUUUAUCUUUAUUGGACUGUUGGUGUCUACCGAGUCCGACCUUCCCGUCUGCGCUCCCCUGUCCGCCGUGUUCUCCAGUCCCGAGUCCACCUCAUCAGCCGGUGACCUGCUGACAUGUCUCAGCUGCUUUUCUUUUGUUCAGCAAACGUUCUCAAAUGCCUUUUUUUAAGCUUUUUUAUUUGUAGUCUAUUAUAUUUGAGCUAAAUAUAAUUAAUAUAACGUAGGCCUACUU